CCUUGCUUUGAUUGAGCAGAAAGUGUCUUCACAGCUACUUGUCUUCCCCUUUUGAGGGUUCCCAUCUGUGGCACGAGAAGCCCCAUUAGCAUGGGUUUUUGCACUAAAACAGCUACACCUCAUAUCUGCCUGCAAAUAAUCUGCUGCUAUCUUCCAAAUCACAUAGUUGUACCGCUUGUAAGGAAGAAAAAUAAAUUUAAGAGCUGUGGACUCAGUAGCUUCUGACUUUUCAGGGAGGCGCUUGUGCUUUUUUCUAAUGUGGAGAAAUGC
rnacentral:misc_RNA from 1 species